rnacentral:tRNA from 1 species
GUUAACGUAGCAAAACUUGGCAAUGCAAAAGAUCUAAACCCUUUCCAUAGAGAUUCAAAUCCUCUCGUUAACU